rfam:Dipodomys ordii contig_11608, whole genome shotgun sequence.
GGUGGCUCAAUGGUAGAGCGCUUGCCUUGUAUGCCUGAGGCCCUGGGUUCGAUUCCUCAGCACCA